ensembl:lncRNA
UGCCGUAGUCAGCUGCGCUGUGCAUUAUGGGAUGAGGAAGUGUUUGUUGACAGUUUGCACUUUAGCAUGGCAGCUCAUGGACAAACUUGGAGUAGUGAGGAGGUGCGGAGCCUCAUAGAAAUUUGGUCUGAUGACCAUAUUAGGUCCCAACUUUUGAAAACUCACAAGAACAGCGCGAUCUUCUCAUUGUUUAGCAAACAACUCAGGGAAAGGGGGUUUGAUAGAUCCGUGGAACAAUGCUGGGUUAAGGCAAAGAAGCUCCGCCAGCAGUACAUCCAAGUUCGGGAUGCACUUAAUAAAACAGGCAGCUCGGGUAAGGAGAAAGACAAGUUCCCCUGUGGGAGAUUCAAGCAACAUAUCCUCUGAUGCAGAUGUCACAAACACCGUUGCUGAUGCAGGAGUGUCUGAAGAUCCAGGUACAGAGAGCAGUGCCAAUGAAGAAGCCAUCAUAGGAUGGAGACUACCCAUUCCUGGAGCCAAAGCUCGAAAAAGAAAGCUAAAGUCUUGCAAAGCUGAUGUUGACAUCCAGGCAUACAUGAUGGACAACAGAAUGAUGCUGACAGAAUUGCAUAGAGCUGAACAGAGCCAAGUGGCUCAAGAGGCUGCCUGUUUUGAGAGAAUAUUGAAGGCACAACAGGAGGCUGAGGAGAGAAGAUUCCAGAAGAUGCAGGCACAGCAACAGGCCACUAACCAGAUGUUUCUGCAACUAAUGGGCACUCUAGCAAGUGCGCUGAAUCCUGGUCAGCCCCCACCUCAUUCCACAACAGUGCCAGCCUGGACCACAACACCCCCACCAACAUCAAUCCCUAGUGCUUGGUCCUUGCCCCACCUGUUUCAGCCAACUGCCCUGCUGCCAAUGAAUAAUCCACAUCACCACCGGCAAUCAGAAUCUCCAUCCAACCAAGAUGAACAUCCUAGCACUUCAUCCAUUAUACAUGAUAUUAAUAGUACACACUACUACAACAUGUAGUUUUUUUGCUUGUUUUUGCAAUCUAGGAAAGGCUUUGUUUGUGUAGGCCUUUAAUGUGCAGUCAUUUUGCUCUUUAAAUUGUUCUGUUUAGUGUUCUGAAGAAUAUACUCCAGCAGAAAUGACUACCCUGUGUGUGUUUACAUUUCCCAGAAAUAUGCUACCUCAUUUUCAUUAUUAGUAUUUUUUUUUUUACUUUUGGAAUACACAAGGAUAUAUAAUAUAAAGUAAAAAGAGGACUUUUUUUGGCACAACACACAGCCAUUUUUAAUAAAUGGCUUAAAUGUUUAACUGUAAAACAUGUUUAUUUUCCAAUCAUAAUGUUUUUGUAGCCAACAUUUAUGGAAAGUUUCAUUUGUCUGAAGUUAAACAGGCAAGUUUGGUGUUAAGAAUGUUCCAUAUUUUUAGUGUAUUUACGUGUAGCAGCAACUGCUAGCAAGCAGUUGAAGGACUAGCUGGAGGCAAAUCUCCCUAAGACCACCACUUACGCACUGAAAUAAUGGCAUAGUGGCUUUAGCUUAUGGUGUUUGUGUGGUCACUCAUGGGAGAUCGAGGUUCAAAUUACAUGCACUAUGUUACCUAAUUUUUCAAGGUUUUCUUUUCAAAAGUUUAUUGUAAUUUCAGACAAUGUACCAGACACAUAACACUGUAAAAAAAAAAAAAAAAAUACAUUUUACUUUCAAAAUGGAGAAAAAUAUGUUCAGAUGUGUCAACUUUACAUUUGUUACAAAUUAAACAGAAAUCAUUUUAG